rnacentral:lncRNA from 1 species
ACUGAUCCAAGCACAGAAAUCAAUGUUCUUCUUUAAUUUAUGAAUUUCUUUAACAAAAUAUUCUACUUGAUAUCAUAUGCAGACAAUCAUCUCUUCAUAACCCUGAUCAAUAUAAAAAUCACAUAUAGAGAAAUUACCGAUAAUCGAUCUUAAUAACACAAAUCGAGGACCUCUCUUAGGAUUAAUCAAAAUUAGGAUUUAUCUAAGUAUCUAGAUCCUCCACUGAUCCAUAAGACUUCUAGAGAGAGAAAAUCCAUGAAGAGAGAGAAAAUUUUAGAGAGAGAAAGUAGAGAGAGAAAAUGGAGAGAGAAUCUUCGUAUCCUUCAGAUGAGGCAAUCAUGGUCGAGAUCAUCAGAGAUCCUAUCAGGAUGACUCAAUAUGAAUCAAAUGUUACAAAUUUCGAAUAGGAUCGGACUGGGAUCAGAUCUACCGCAUGAAUUUCGAAGCAAUCUCGGAUCAUCUUAUUUUCAUCUCAAUUUUAUCCUAGGAUCCGUGAUGAAAUCAGAGAGGGAAAAAGACUCUAGAGAGAUAAAAAUUCAUAAAGAGAGAGAAAGGUCUAGAGAGAGAAUCUAGAGAGAGAAACUGAAGAGAGAAGGUAGAGAGAGGAGAGAGAAAAUAUUUCUCUCUUCUUCUUCUUUUUUUUUAUUUUAUUUUUAUUUUUCUUCUUUUUCUUUUUAUUUUUCUUUUUUUCUUUUUUCUUUUUCUUUUUCCUUUUUCUUUUCUUUUCUUUUCUUUUCUUUCUUUCUUCUUUCUUCCUUCUUCUUUCUUUUCUUUUCUUNNNNNNNNNNNNNNNNNNNNAUAAAUAAUAAUAUAAUCUGAAAAUAAAGAUAAGCAAUAACACAUAAAAAGUCGAUGUUCACUGUCCAGAAUACUGCAAACAUUUAUAGAUUAUCUGUUUUAUCAAAAGAGAUGCAUCAUCAUAUGUUAAAUAAGUGAAACAAUUUUAUUCAACGAUUGUUUCAUGUCUUAUCUUUCAUUUCUCCUUUCAUAAUCACAUAAUUUUUUAACAUUUUCUUUCUGACUCUGGACUAUUCAAGUCUAUACCUCAGUCAUCAUCUGGAUCGAAUCCACUUAAAAAGCCUUUCAAGACUAUCCCAGGAUGAGCUCCUGGCCGGCUAUCCCACGUACCAAAGUCCGUGAGAGGCUGUCCCAGGCAUAAGCUCCUGGCGGGCUGUCUCAGGCAUGAGCUCCUGGCCGGCUGAUCCACCUGUAAGCCAGUGGGGGCUGUCCCAGGCAUAAGCUCCUGGCGGACUGUUCCAUAUGACAAGGCUAGUCCAUACCAUAUACCUCUUACUUUUCAUUUAAUCAUUUUGUGUUGAUUUCAUCAAAUCAAUUCCGACUUGCAUUAUGAUCGAUUCAGAUAUAUCAUAUCCAUAUAAUCAUGCCAUCAAUCUCUGAUACAUAUAUAUUGACAUAACAUACUAAUGCUCAAAAUCAAAUAACAGUAUCUCAGAUAUAAUAAAUUUAUCGAUCUCAAAUCCGACGAUGCAAAAUCAAUAAUGCAAGACCAACAGUAAAAUAUAUAUAUAAUGGUGAUCAUGUACAGGAAUUCUUACCUUUACUGGUGACUGAUCCAAGCACAGAAAUCAAUGUUCUUCUUUAAUUUAUGAAUUUCUUUAACAAAAUAUUUCACUUGAUAUCAUAUGCAGACAAUCAUCUCUUCAUAACCUUGAUCAAUAUAAAAAUCACAUAUAGAGAAAUUACUGAUAAUCAAUCUUAAUAACACAAAUCGAGGACCUCUCUUAGGAUUAAUCAAAAUUAGGAUUUAUCUAAGUAUCUG